AGAGUUUGAUCAUGGCUCAGGACGAACGCUGGCGGCGUGCUUAACACAUGCAAGUCGAACGGAAAGGCCCUUCGGGGUACUCGAGUGGCGAACGGGUGAGUAACACGUGGGUGAUCUGCCCUGCACUCUGGGAUAAGCCUGGGAAACUGGGUCUAAUACCGGAUUGGACCGCAUGCUUCAUGGUGUGUGGUGCAAAGCUUUUGCGGUGUGGGAUGAGCCCGCGGCCUAUCAGCUUGUUGGUGGGGUAAUGGCCUACCAAGGCGACGACGGGUAGCCGGCCUGAGAGGGUGACCGGCCACACUGGGACUGAGAUACGGCCCAGACUCCUACGGGAGGCAGCAGUGGGGAAUAUUGCACAAUGGGCGCAAGCCUGAUGCAGCGACGCCGCGUGAGGGAUGACGGCCUUCGGGUUGUAAACCUCUUUCAGUAGGGACGAAGCGAAAGUGACGGUACCUACAGAAGAAGGACCGGCCAACUACGUGCCAGCAGCCGCGGUAAUACGUAGGGUCCGAGCGUUGUCCGGAAUUACUGGGCGUAAAGAGCUCGUAGGUGGUUUGUCGCGUUGUUCGUGAAAACUCACAGCUUAACUGUGGGCGUGCGGGCGAUACGGGCAGACUAGAGUACUGCAGGGGAGACUGGAAUUCCUGGUGUAGCGGUGGAAUGCGCAGAUAUCAGGAGGAACACCGGUGGCGAAGGCGGGUCUCUGGGCAGUAACUGACGCUGAGGAGCGAAAGCGUGGGUAGCGAACAGGAUUAGAUACCCUGGUAGUCCAA
rnacentral:rRNA from 1 species